rnacentral:rRNA from 1 species
GUCGAGCGAGAACCGUAGCAAUACGGGGACAGCGGCGAAAGGGACAGUAAUAUGUAGGUACCUACCCCGGGGUCUGGGAUAGCUGCGGGAAACUGCAGGUAAUACCGGAUAAUGUCUUCGGACCAAAGGUGUGAUUCCACCUUGGGAGGGGCCUACAUCCUAUUAGCUUGUUGGUGAGGUAACGGCUCACCAAGGCAACGAUGGGUAGCGGGUGUGAGAGCACGACCCGCGUCAUUGGGACUGAGAUACUGCCCAGACACCUACGGGUGGCUGCAGUCGAGGAUCUUCGGCAAUGGGCGAAAGCCUGACCGAGCGACGCCGCGUGUGGGAUGAAGGCCCUCGGGUUGUAAACCACUGUCAACGGGGAGGAAAUACAGAAGGGCUAUCCCUUUUGUUUGACCUAUCUGUGGAGGAAGUACGGGCUAAGUUCGUGCCAGCAGCCGCGGUAAGACGAACCGUACAAACGUUAUUCGGAAUUACUGGGCUUAAAGGGUGCGUAGGCGGCGCGGACAGUUGGGUGUGAAAGCCCUCGGCUCAACCGAGGAAUUGCGCUCAAAACUACCGUGCUCGAGGGAGACAGAGGUAAGCGGAACUCAAGGUGGAGCGGUGAAAUGCGUUGAUAUCUUGAGGAACACCGGUGGCGAAGGCGGCUUACUGGGUCUUUUCUGACGCUGAGGCACGAAAGCCAAGGUAGCAAACGGGAUUAGAUACCCCGGUAGUCUUGGCUGUAAACGAUGAGCACUUGAUUGAAGGGUCCUCCAUAGCCUUUCAGUCGUAGCGAAAGUGUUAAGUGCUCCGCCUGGGGAGUAUGGUCGCAAGGCUGAAACUCAAAGAAAUUGACGGGGGCUCACACAAGCGGUGGAGGAUGUGGCUUAAUUCGAGGCUACGCGAAGAACCUUAUCCUAGUCUUGACAUGUAUGGAUUACCCUAUGAAAGUAGGGCACGCCUUCGGGUGAACAUACACAGGUGCUGCAGGCUGUCGUCAGCUCGUGUCGUGAGAU